UGUUAGUCGGGGAGCCUUAAGCAGGCUGAGACGGUAAAUACCGGACCCGCUGUACCUGAUCCAGUUAAUGCUGGCGUAGGAAACUA
rnacentral:ncRNA from 1 species